rnacentral:rRNA from 1 species
GACGAACGCUGGCGGCGUGCCUAAUACAUGCAAGUUGAGCGCUGAAGGUUGGUACUUGUACCAACUGGAUGAGCAGCGAACGGGUGAGUAACGCGUGGGGAAUCUGCCUUUGAGCGGGGGACAACAUUUGGAAACGAAUGCUAAUACCGCAUAAAAACUUUAAACACAAGUUUUAAGUUUGAAAGAUGCAAUUGCAUCACUCAAAGAUGAUCCCGCGUUGUAUUAGCUAGUUGGUGGGGUAAAGGCUCACCAAGGCGAUGAUACAUAGCCGACCUGAGAGGGUGAUCGGCCACAUUGGGACGGAGACACGGCCCAAACUCCUACGGGCGGCAGCAGUAGGGAAUCUUCGGCAAUGGACGAAAGUCUGACCGAGCAACGCCGCGUGAGUGAAGAAGGUUGUCGGAUCGUAAAACUCUGUUGGUAGAGAAGAACGUUGGUGAGAGUGGAAAGCUCAUCAAGUGACGGUAACUACCCAGAAAGGGACGGCUAACUACGUG